rnacentral:lncRNA from 1 species
GGGCACUUUCCGAAACCAAGGAUAACUUCUAAUUUUUUUUUACGUUAUGUAUUUUAUUUUUACAUUGUGCAUUUCUUGAGAUUCUCAUUAGCCACAGAGACGCCUUUUUAAAAGUAUGGGCAAUUAAUCCUAUCAAAUGUAGUAACAUUAGUGUAUGAAAAUAUUUUUAUUCCCAAGCAAAAUCAGUCUUGCAGGAAGAAUAAGAUAUGAAUUCCAUUAAGCAAAACGUGUUACCAGUCCUUCUCCAUGUCAGAUGACGCAUAGGCUGGGAUGCCUUGUUUCUGAUUCUGAAGAAGAGGAGAUAAGCGCUGUUAACAGGACUUGCUCAGCCUUUUCAAAGUGACCUCAAUGGACAAUGACCUCAGCACUGGGAAAGCUGGUCCUAGGAAAUGAAGGCAAAGUUGAAUAGAGAAAUGCCAGUCUUUCAGAAGCUACCAUCUCCACAAAGAUCGAGUAAAUGGGGUCCCAUUUUGGCCAACACAUUUCAACAGUCACAUGGAAUUUCUGAAUAGCAUCCAAAAAUGAUGAGAAGUGAAAAGUAGUUUUCCAUUUUUCAUGAGUAAAAGUUAAAAUAGAACAGAUCCAAGAGAGAACUUGUAUAUUGUCCCCAAUCGUUGAUAAGCAAUGAUUUUCCAUAUCCACUAACGUUAAAAGAAAAUGUGUUUUGCAGCAAAGUAAAAAAAUCUUUUUUGGAAGAACUUAUUUAUGAUCGUGGUGCUAGAAUA